ACCACGAAUUAGUUCCGGCGCAUUUGCAACUACCACGACGAUAAUCAAAGAAUAUAAAGAAUUAUCUGAUACAGACGACGAAAGUUAGAGUUGAGAAUAUCGUUCCGAUACGUUCCGGAAGUUCUUAUGAACCCACCAAGAUGAAUGGCGAAUUGGAUUGCAAGAACGCCUAUCGUGAAAUACUGAACCAAACAUUGAUAGCUCUGCAUGGAAUGUUCACCAAGCUGGUGUCGAUCUUUGAAAAAAAGUACCCAGUUGGGGUACGGCAGCUCUAGUGGCAACCUAUACAGUGUGAUUGUCACCACGGACAUAAUCGGCCAGAAAUUACUCCAAAGAGGUCAGUUACAAACAUGAUCAACAACGAUUCCGAUGAACAUAAUCACGAAUCGUGCGCAAAAAUUGAGCAAAAACUGCAUUGAUGUGUGCAAACUAAGACCGUCAGUUAGAACCAGCGAUAAAUUUCGUGUCUGGAUACUCUUUCCUAGAGAAUCCCAGUGGAAUAUAAUCUGGGAAUGUUGGACAAGGAGAUCAAUCAGAAACAAAUGCUUUUGGCGUGGAAGGCUAAAUAUCAGCAUGUUUGUUUUGAGAUCAGCCAAUUGCGGCGUCCAUCGAUACGAUCAGUUGUAGCAAUAAUUGAAUACACCUUAUAAACUAUGAACUGCAAAUCUACAGCAGCACACUACUCUCGGGAACCCAUGCUCAGCUGAAACCCCGGACAGCGUUGACUUUAUGAAUAUUUAUUUCAAAAAUAAGGAAUAAGUCGUUCUGGUGCCAGAAAUAUGCCGCUAUUUAUUCGAUGUUGAUUAUUAUUACCUUAGUUGCUUUUGUAGAUUAUGUUAGAAGGUUUUUGUUACAAAUUUUUUUAAGUAACCGAACGUUAGCUAUUUUCUUAAUGUUCAUGAAAAAUAAAAAUGUUCAACCAAAGUUUUUGUUUUUGUAAACAACAUUUCCAAACAAAACAAAAU